UACGAAGGGGGCUAGCGUUGCUCGGAAUCACUGGGCGUAAAGGGCGCGUAGGCGGCCUGAUAAGUCGGGGGUGAAAGCCUGUGGCUCAACCACAGAAUUGCCUUCGAUACUGUUAGGCUUGAGACCGGAAGAGGUAAGUGGAACUGCGAGUGUAGAGGUGAAAUUCGUAGAUAUUAGGAAGAACACCAGUGGCGAAGGCGGCUCACUGGCCCGGUACUGACGCUCAUGUGCGAAAGCGUGGGGAGCAAACAGG
rnacentral:rRNA from 1 species